UGGAAGACUUGUGAUUUAGUUG
rnacentral:miRNA from 1 species